CCUACGGGAGGCUGCAGUGGGGAAUAUUGGACAAUGGGGGGAACCCUGAUCCAGCCAUGCCGCGUGUGUGAAGAAGUCCCUCGGGUUGUAAAGCACUUUCAGUGAGGAAGAACGCCUGGUGGUUAAUACCCAUCAGGAAAGACAUCACUCACAGAAGAAGCACCGGCUAACUCCGUGCCAGCAGCCGCGGUAAUACGGAGGGUGCGAGCGUUAAUCGGAAUUACUGGGCGUAAAGCGCGCGUAGGUGGCUUGAUAAGCCGGUUGUGAAAGCCCCGGGCUCAACCUGGGAACGGCAUCCGGAACUGUCAAGCUAGAGUGCAGGAGAGGAAGGUAGAAUUCCCGGUGUAGCGGUGAAAUGCGUAGAGAUCGGGAGGAAUACCAGUGGCGAAGGCGGCCUUCUGGACUGACACUGACACUGAGGUGCGAAAGCGUGGGUAGCAAACAGGAUUAGAUACCCCGGUAGUC
rnacentral:rRNA from 1 species